rnacentral:rRNA from 1 species
GUGGCGAACGGGUGAGUAACACGUGAGCAAUCUGCCCUUGACUCUGGGAUAAGCGUUGGAAACGACGUCUAAUACCGGAUACGACCUUGGAAGGCAUCUUCUGGGGUGGAAAGAAUUUUGGUCAAGGAUGAGCUCGCGGCCUAUCAGCUAGUUGGUGAGGUAAUGGCUCACCAAGGCGACGACGGGUAGCCGGCCUGAGAGGGUGACCGGCCACACUGGGACUGAGACACGGCCCAGACUCCUACGGGAGGCAGCAGUGGGGAAUAUUGCACAAUGGGCGAAAGCCUGAUGCAGCAACGCCGCGUGAGGGACGACGGCCUUCGGGUUGUAAACCUCUUUUAGUAGGGAAGAAGCGUUAAAGUGACGGUACCUGCAGAAAAAGCACCGGCUAACUACGUGCCAGCAGCCGCGGUAAUACGUAGGGUGCAAGCGUUGUCCGGAAUUAUUGGGCGUAAAGAGCUCGUAGGCGGUUUGUCGCGUCUGCUGUGAAAACCCGAGGCUCAACCUCGGGCCUGCAGUGGGUACGGGCAGACUAGAGUGCGGUAGGGGAGAUUGGAAUUCCUGGUGUAGCGGUGGAAU